rnacentral:rRNA from 1 species
GACGAACGCUGGCGGCGUGCUUAACACAUGCAAGUCGAACGAUGAUGCCCAGCUUGCUGGGUGGAUUAGUGGCGAACGGGUGAGUAACACGUGAGUAACCUGCCCUUGACUUCGGGAUAACUCCGGGAAACCGGGGCUAAUACCGGAUAUGAGCUACCUUCGCAUGGGGGUGGUUGGAAAGUUUUUCGGUCAGGGAUGGGCUCGCGGCCUAUCAGCUGGUUGGUGGGGUGAUGGCCUACCAAGGCGACGACGGGUAGCCGGCCUGAGAGGGCGACCGGCCACACUGGGACUGAGACACGGCCCAGACUCCUACGGGAGGCAGCAGUGGGGAAUAUUGCACAAUGGGCGCAAGCCUGAUGCAGCGACGCCGCGUGAGGGAUGAAGGCCUUCGGGUUGUAAACCUCUUUCAGCAGGGAAGGAGCGCAAGUGACGGUACCUGCAGAAGAAGCGCCGGCUAACUACGUGCCAGCAGCCGCCGUAAUAC